rnacentral:tRNA from 1 species
GCAUUCAUGGUUCAGUGGUAGAAUUCUCUCCUUUCAUGCAGGAGACCUGGGUUCAAUUCCCAGCCAAUGCA